rnacentral:rRNA from 1 species
GAUGAACGCUAGCGGUGCGCCUAACACAUGCAAGUCGAGCGAUCGAACUGGACUGAUCACCCUUCGGGGUGAGAGGACCAGUGACGGAGCGGCGGACUGGUGAGUAACGCGUAGCCAACCUACCCCCUUGACGGAGAUAACUACCUGAAAGGGUAGCUAAUACCCGAUAUUGCUCGAGGUCGAAAGAUCUUGAGCCAAAGGCGGUCUUGCCGUCGCAAGAGGAGGGGGCUGCGUCCUAUUAGCUUGUUGGUGGGGUAAUGGCCCACCAAGGCGAUGAUGGGUAGCUGGUCUGAGAGGAUGGCCAGCCACAUUGGGACUGAGAUACGGCCCAGACUUCUACGGGAGGCAGCAGUGGGGAAUCUUUCGCAAUGGGCGAAAGCCUGACGGAGCGACACCGCGUGGGGGAUGAAGGCUUUCGGGUUGUAAACCUCUUUUCUGGGGGAAGAAUAAGGGCGGGAGGAAAUGCCCGUCCGAUGACGGUACCCCAGGAAUAAGCAUCGGCUAACUUCGUGCCAGCAGCCGCGGUAAGACGAAGGAUGCAAGCGUUAUCCGGAAUUACUGGGCGUAAAGGGCGCCUAGGCGGCCGAGCAAGUCACCCGUGAAAGCCCUCAGCUCAACUGAGGAAUGUCGAGUGAAACUGCUCGGCUUGGGUGCAGGAGAGGAGGGUGGAACUCACAGAGUAGCGGUGGAAUGCGUAGAUACUGUGAGGUACCCCGAUGGCGAAGGCAACCCUCUGGCUGCUACUGACGCUGAAGCGCGAAAGCGUGGGGAGCAAAGGGGAUUAGAUACCCCCGUAGUCCACGCCGCAAACGAUGUUCACUGGGUGUCGGUCGCUAAUACAGAUCGGUGCCGGAGCUAACGCGUUAAGUGAACCGCCUGGGGAGUACGGCCGCAAGGCUAAAACUCAAGAGAAUUGACGGGGCCCCGCACAAGCGGUGGAGCACGUGGUUUAAUUCGAUGAUAAGCGAAGAACCUCACCUGGGUUUGACAUGCUAGUGGUAGGAACCGGAAACGGGGACGACCCUUGCCUUCGGGUAAGGGAGCUAGUACAGGUGAUGCAUGGCUGUCGUCAGUUCGUGUCGUGGGACGUUGGGUUAAGUCCCGAAACGAGCGCAACCCCUGUCGUCAGUUGCCAGCGGGUAAAGCCGGGGACUCUGACGAGACUGCCGGUGAAUAGCCGGAGGAAGGAGGGGAUGACGUCAAGUCAUCAUGUCCCUUAUGCCCAGGGCGACACACAUGCUACAAUGGGGGGGUACAAAGGGCUGCAAUGCCGUAAGGCUGAGCCAAUCCCAAAAAACCUUCCUCAGUUCGGAUUGAGGUCUGUAACUCGACCUCAUGAAGCCGGAAUCGCUAGUAAUCGCAGGUCAGCCACACUGCGGUGAAUAUGUACUCGGGGCUUGUACACACCGCCCGUCACACCAACCGAGUGGGGGGUACUUGAAGUCGCUCUUUAUAGAGCGCCGAGGGUAACCUCCGCAAGAGGGGUG